AGCAGCCGCGGUAAUUCCAGCUCCAAUAGCGUAUAUUAAAGUUGUUGCAGUUAAAAAGCUCGUAGUUGAAUUUCAGGCCUGGCUGGACGGUCCGCCCUUCGGGUGAGUACUGUCUGUGGUCGGGUCCUACCUUCUGGCGAAGCGUCAUGGCCUUAACCGGCCGUGGCGGGGAACCAGGACUUUUACUGUGAAAAAUUAGAGUGUUCAAAGCAGGCAAUCGCUUGGAUACAUUAGCAUGGAAUAAUGGAAUAGGACAAUGGUUCUAUUUGUUGGUUUCUAGGACCGUUGUAAUGAUUAAUAGGGAUAGUUGGGGGCAUUAGUAUUCAAUUGUCAGAGGUGAAAUUCUUGGAUUUAUUGAAGACUAACUACUGCGAAAGCAUUUGCCAAGGAUGUUUUCAUUAAUCAAGAACGAAAGUUAGGGGAUCGAAGACGAUCAGAUACCGUCGUAGUCUUAACCAUAAACUAUG
rnacentral:rRNA from 1 species